UACGUAGGGUGCAAGCGUUGUCCGGAAUUAUUGGGCGUAAAGAGCUCGUAGGCGGUUAGUCGCGUCUGCUGUGAAAACUCGGGGCUUAACUCCGAGUCUGCCGUGCGAACUGGGAGGCUUGAGUCUGGUAGAGGUCGAUGGAAUUCCGGGUGUAGCGGUGGAAUGCGUAGAGAUCCGGAAGAACACCGGUGGCGAAGGCGGUCGACUGGGCCAGUACUGACGCUGAGGCGCGACAGCGUGGGGAGGCAAACAGG
rnacentral:rRNA from 1 species